UCCGUAGGCGGGCUAAUAAGUCAGGGGUGAAAUCCCACAGCUUAACUGUGGAACUGCCUUUGAUACUGUUGGUCUUGAGUUAUAUGGAAGUAGAUAGAAUGUGUAGUGUAGCGGUGAAAUGCAUAGAUAUUACACAGAAUACCGAUUGCGAAGGCAGUCUACUACGUAUAUACUGACGCUAAUGGACGAAAGCGUGGGGAGCGAACAGGAUUAGAUACCCUGGUAGUCC
rnacentral:rRNA from 1 species